UAGAUGUUUGUCCUCAAGUUGCCUUAUUGAGU
rnacentral:piRNA from 1 species